GAGUUUGAUCCUGGCUCAGGACGAACGCUGGCGGCGUGCUUAACACAUGCAAGUCGAACGGAGCGAAUGAAAGCUUGCUUUUAUGAGCUUAGUGGCAAACGGGUGAGUAACACGUAGACAACCUGCCGACAGGAUGGGGACAACAUUCCGAAAGGAAUGCUAAUACCGAAUGAAGCGGAGGAGAGGCAUCUCUCUUCCGUGAAAGAUGGCCUCUGAAUAUGCUAUCACCUGUCGAUGGGUCUGCGUCUGAUUAGCUAGUUGGUGAGGUAACGGCUCACCAAGGCGACGAUCAGUAGCCGGUCUGAGAGGAUGAACGGCCACAUUGGGACUGAGACACGGCCCAGACUCCUACGGGAGGCAGCAGUGGGGAAUCUUCCGCAAUGGGCGCAAGCCUGACGGAGCAACGCCGCGUGAGUGAAGAAGGUCUUCGGAUCGUAAAGCUCUGUUGAUGGGGACGAACGUGCGAAGGGUGAAUAAUCCUUUGUAAUGACGGUACCUAUCGAGGAAGCCACGGCUAACUACGUGCCAGCAGCCGCGGUAAUACGUAGGUGGCGAGCGUUGUCCGGAAUCAUUGGGCGUAAAGGGAGCGCAGGCGGGCAUGUAAGUCUUUCUUAAAAGUUCGGGGCUCAACCCCGUGAUGGGAAAGAAACUACAUGUCUUGAGUACAGGAGAGGAAAGCGGAAUUCCCAGUGUAGCGGUGAAAUGCGUAGAUAUUGGGAGGAACACCAGUGGCGAAGGCGGCUUUCUGGACUGCAACUGACGCUGAGGCUCGAAAGCC
rnacentral:rRNA from 1 species